UACGUAGGGUGCGAGCGUUAAUCGGAAUUACUGGGCGUAAAGCGUGCGCAGGCGGUUAUUUAAGUCAGGUGUGAGAGCCCUGGGCUUAACCUAGGAAUUGCGCUUGAGACUGGAUAGCUUGGAGUGCGGCAGAGGGAGGUGGAAUUCCACGUGUAGCAGUGAAAUGCGUAGAGAUGUGGAGGAACACCGAUGGCGAAGGCAGCCUCCUGGGCCAGCACUGACGCUCAUGCACGAAAGCGUGGGGAGCAAACAGG
rnacentral:rRNA from 1 species